rnacentral:lncRNA from 1 species
CCCAAAGUGCAAAAUGAGCACGACACCGGACUCUCCGCUACCAUCGCCUUGUUGCUCUCCCUCUUCAAUUACUGCUCGGUCUCUCUCUCUCUCUCUCUUUCUCUGUGUGUGUGUUGUGCUUAAUUGAAGGUCAAUUUUACUUGGUUUCAAUUUUGUUGAUUCCAGAGGUUUUCGCUAUUAUAAAUUGGUGUUUUGUUCAAUUUAGGAUUUGUGAUAGAAGAGAUAUAGAUAAUUUUGAUUUAUUGAGAAAGGAUGUUACUAAGCAUCAACAUUGAAGACACAUUGAUCCUUACAUCAGCCUGCAGAGUAGUAAGGUUUUUGCAGAACCUUAUCUGAUUUUAUUUUAAUGGUUCCUACUUCUAUGUAUCAUUACUGGAGUGGUUUUUUGUGCAGUAGUAGGAAAAUAUGAAGUCAGAUUGGUUAAAUUCAGUGUUUGAGGAUGUUCCUAAGCACAACAAGGCCAAAGAUUGCUGGCUUAUCAUCGGUGAUUUUUUUAUCUUUGAUAUCAAGUUAGUUUUAAUUAUGAGUCAUUUUAUUGUCUUAUCAUCAGCGGAAAGGUUAUUAUAUUAUAGCUUCAUCCAUUUUAUUUUUAUAUUUCUUUUGUGUCACUGGUGAUUUUAGUCAUACUGAUUAUCUAUAUGAGUUUUUGGUUAUCUGUCUUUUUUUUUAGCAAUCCAUUAGGCAAAUGCCUAGGGCUAGUUUUUAUAUAUAUCUAAAUCAAAAUCAGAAAACAAACCAGAGUAAUGUAGUGUGUUAAAAGAUGUAGAGACAUAAUCUAUGUUGAAUACAUAGCCCCUAGUACCAUAAUUGAGUAAAAUAUACUCCACUAUGGUAGUACAUUUUGAACUAGUUGAGAGAUGGCAAAGCAAUCUACGUAAGUGGUGAGUAGAAACUAGCCCCAUGAAUGCAGAAAAAGCAUCAAAUAUCCACACUGCCCAGUAGGGAACGAGCAUUCCUCGUCGCUUGAUGUAAUCCCAUUUUUGCUCUAGUAAAAUCCAGCAUUGUAGUAGUGAUAUCAAGAAACCUCGCUGCAUAUAGUUAAAAUCAAAUACCAGUUCUGGUACCUUGUAGUCGCACGCAUGUUUUGGUGUGGCCCUCCUUGUACGCAUAGGAUAUGUUCUCCACAUUACAUCAUUGUUUCCUAUUUGCAACUCUUGUGUGUCCAGCAAAUGUGUGAGACUGUGAGUAGUUGUGGAUGCAUUGUUUGGUGUGGAAAUCGUGUGUUUUCCAGCAGCAAAAUGAUGAAGCCUUUCUGAGGCACCUUUCAUCGGAUGUAGCUCCCGUUUUUGAAUGCCAAAAAAGUGUAACUUCCAUGUUUAUGUCACUCAGAAUUCUGGGCAAUAUGCUUCUCGAGUAUUCUUUGUUCCAUAUUUUCACCAGUGACGUCCGUCACUUUCUGGGAAUGAGCACAUAAUGCUAAUAUCACCCAUAGAGUUUUAAUCACAUGAUGAGGGAUGGUAACAAUGGCGUUUUCUAUCAUGAAUGAGUCGAGGAAGUUUCUUGGCAUGUUUCUCCUGUAAAUCCCUUCUUUUGUGCCCCUUCUUUGUAGCCUGAUCUGAUCAAGGUUAUCUGUCUUUGGAUAUGCAUGUUUUGUUAAUUUUUUCUGUUUAGAUAUCUGUGAUAUAGAAGAUUUUGUGCCUUUAACUUAUCGAAUUAAUUUGGUUUGGUGAUUAACUUUUUCAUUUUGAGCGGUGGUGAUCAACUUUGACCGAAUUAGAUUUCUUAAGUUGGUUUCAAAUUGUCAAUUGUUUCCUAUUAAAGAAAUUCAUUGAUUGACAGAUAGGCAAUGAAUUGUUAGUUGUCUACAAUAUCAUUAGCUCUUUGUAAUUGUUUUAUAAAAGUAUCAUUUGGGGACUUUGACUAGUCUAGUUUGUAAUCUAUAUUUUUUGGAGCUUGUUCUGCUAUGUUGAAGUGUUGAAACUUGGAAGGCCAAAGAGUUUAACUUCUCUGACUGAAGGAAAUACAAAGAAGCUGCUGGUCUGUACCUAGUAACGAUCUUUUCUACGUAUUAAUAAAAGUCAUAUUCCUAAAUAUGUAUGUAAUUUAGGUAGUUUGUUUUAUCCUUUUCAUGUUUUUUCUAGUUAGUGUUGAAAUAAAUUUUGAGUCUUAUUAAACUGGAAAAACGGAAGCGUUGUUUAUGUUAGUAAUGUAGUACAGAGAAUUCAACGAAGUCAUACAACAGGGGAUGAAAGUAGAAAGAAAUGUUU